AUUGAACGCUGGCGGCAUGCCUUACACAUGCAAGUCGAACGGUAACAGGUUAAGCUGACGAGUGGCGAACGGGUGAGUAAUGUAUCGGAACGUGCCCAGUCGUGGGGGAUAACUACUCGAAAGAGUGGCUAAUACCGCUUACGACCUGAGGGUGAAAGCGGGGGACCGUAAGGCCUCGCGCGAUUGGAGCGGCCGAUAUCAGAUUAGCUAGUUGGUGGGGUAAAAGCCCACCAAGGCGACGAUCUGUAGCUGGUCUGAGAGGACGACCAGCCACACUGGGACUGAGACACGGCCCAGACUCCUACGGGAGGCAGCAGUGGGGAAUUUUGGACAAUGGACGCAAGUCUGAUCCAGCCAUGCCGCGUGCGGGAAGAAGGCCUUCGGGUCGUAAACCGCUUUUGUCAGGGAAGAAACGAGUUUCUCUAAUACAGAGACCUAAUGACGGUACCUGAAGAAUAAGCACCGGCUAACUACGUGCCAGCCGCCGCUGUAAGAC
rnacentral:rRNA from 1 species